rnacentral:rRNA from 1 species
GGCCUUGACAUGCAGAGAACUUUCCAGAGAUGGAUUGGUGCCUUCGGGAACGUCUGACACAGGUGCUGCAUGGCUGUCGUCAGCUCGUGUCGUGAGAUGUUGGGUUAAGUCCCGUAACGAGCGCAACCCUUGUCCUUAGUUACCAGCACGUUAUGUGGGCACUCUAAGGAGACUGCCGGUGACAAACCGGAGGAAGGUGGGGAUGACGUCAAGUCAUCAUGGCCCUCACGGCCUGGGCUACACACGUGCUACAAUGGUCGGUACAAAGGGUUGCCAAGCCGCGAGGUGGAGCUAAUCCCAUAAAACCGAUCGUAGUCCGGAUCGCAGUCUGCAACUCGACUGCGUGAAGUCGGAAUCGCUAGUAAUCGUGAAUCAGAAUGUCACGGUGAAUACGUUCCCGGGCCUU